rnacentral:lncRNA from 1 species
UGUGAAGAGUGAAUGAAAACUUUCUUUGUCUAUCAAUCAGCAACUUUUAAAUUAAUCAAUCAAAAACUUGAGCACCCCUAAUUAACACUAAGUAUGAGAGUUCACAAGUCACUUGCCAGAAUGGGUAACAACUCCAGAGGACAAUGCCAACCCCCUUGGGCAAUGCUAGGCAAAUUGAAAGUCUGCAAUUGGUUCCCAUAAAGUGGAAGAAGGGACAGGAAGUGGCAUGGAAAAAGGACUAUAAAAAAUCCUGAACUUCCUGUUCAAGGGACUUCUUCACCUUUUGGAGAGUUUGGCUUCUUGGACUUUGACUUCGACUUCACUUUUGGAGUUCUUGGGAAUUUGGUUUUUUUGGACUUCGCCUUGGUGAGCUGCAUUGGUGAGCUGGACUGAAGGAAGAGACUCUUUCCCUGGAUCCUACGUUGGCUUGCUGGAGUGAUCCAAAUUCAAUGGCGAGACAAAAGACAAGGAUGACUACAGAUGGCCUGGGAUGCAGUGGAUGACCUUGGCCUCUUUGAUGUCUGAACAAACUCCAAUCUCUCCGCAGUGCCUACUUAUGUUGCUUUCAUGGCUAUUGGAACAAAUUGUUCUUAUUUGCCAAUUCUACAAGGGGAAGUCUUCAUAUAAUUGGGGCAGAAGUCCCCUUAACUCACCAAGAGGUUUGAGAGUCAUCAAAGUUCAGUGGCAAGAAAAAAGUCAAGACUACUGAUGAUGGCCAGGAGGCAGUGGAUGACCUUGGCAUCUUUGAUGUCUGACGAAGCUCUAAGCUUUCUCCAAUGUCUAUUUCAGCUACCUUCAUGGCCACUGGCACGCAUUGUUUUCAUUUAUCCAUUCUGCCAGGGGAAGUCUUCAUGCGCUUGUGGUAGACUUUCCACCAACUCACUGACGGAUUUGAGAGCUGCUGGCUUCCCUCAACUUCGUUUAGUCCAUCCACUGAGAUGGUUUUACUGGGGAGGAAAUGCUGAUUCUACUGCCUGCUGCAAAAUACACAUGAUGUUCUCCUUUGACUGCUUCCUGAUACCCCAGCUGCUGGCUGCAAACCUCUGCAGCCUGCUUGCCGUUUUCUAUGCAUGCUUGCCGUACCAAGUUCUCCAGAAGGGGUAAGUGGAGAGAGGGAAACGCCAGUUACUAAGACAAGGAAGGGUGCCUAGGCUGAGACGCUAACUUGUGUGGAAACCCAGCAUUCCUUCUGGACAACAACCAUCAGGUCCCAGCCAGGAAAGCGCUUGGAGUCCACCCUGUUUCCAAGUUUCUAAGUGCCCUGGAGGGUGUGCAAAUAGAAAUGGGAUACACCUGAACUACAUUUGCCCAGCAUCCUUUUAAGUUACGUCCUCACUUUGCAUCCUGACAUUUGGGAGAGAAAGUUUGCUGAAACCCACGCUGCGGAGCUUUCUGGGUUUUUGCUUUGGUAAAGCGCUGCAGGUGAGAGUCUGGCUCUGUGCUCUACUCACUCGGCAGAAGGAACACCGUUCUCUCUCUCUCUUUGUUGUUAUUAAAUCCUAUA